UUCCUACGGGAGGCAGCAGUGAGGAAUAUUGGUCAAUGGCCGAGAGGCUGAACCAGCCAAGUAGCGUGCAGGAUGACGGCCCUCGUGGUUGUAAACUGCUUUUAGUCGGGAAUAAAAGGGGGUUCGUGAACCCCGUAUUGUAUGUACCGUCAGAAAAAGGACCGGCUAAUUCCGUGCCAGCAGCCGCGGUAAUACGGAAGGUCCGGGCGUUAUCCGGAUUUAUUGGGUUUAAAGGGAGCGUAGGCGGGCCGUUAAGUCAGUUGUGAAAGUUCGGGGCUCAACUCCGGACGUGCCUCUAAUACUGU
rnacentral:rRNA from 1 species